rnacentral:tRNA from 1 species
GCGGUGGUAGUUCAGUGGUAGAAUUGUCACAUUCCAUGCAGUAGACUUGGGUUCAAUUCCCAGCCAAUGCA